AGCGGCGGACCCGUGAGUAACACGUGGGUAACCUGCCCAUAAGACUGGGAUAACUCCGGGAAACCGGGGCUAAUACCGGAUAACAUUUUGAACUGCAUGGUUCGAAAUUGAAAGGCGGCUUCGGCUGUCACUUAUGGAUGGACCCGCGUCGCAUUAGCUAGUUGGUGAGGUAACGGCUCACCAAGGCAACGAUGCGUAGCCGACCUGAGAGGGUGAUCGGCCACACUGGGACUGAGACACGGCCCAGACUCCUACGGGAGGCAGCAGUAGGGAAUCUUCCGCAAUGGACGAAAGUCUGACGGAGCAACGCCGCGUGAGUGAUGAAGGCUUUCGGGUCGUAAAACUCUGUUGUUAGGGAAGAACAAGUGCUAGUUGAAUAAGCUGGCACCUUGACGGUACCUAACCAGAAAGCCACGGCUAACUACGUGCCAGCAGCCGCGGUAAUACGUAGGUGGCAAGCGUUAUCCGGAAUUAUUGGGCGUAAAGCGCGCGCAGGUGGUUUCUUAAGUCUGAUGUGAAAGCCCACGGCUCAACCGUGGAGGGUCAUUGGAAACUGGGAGACUUGAGUGCAGAA
rnacentral:rRNA from 2 species